GUUUUUACAUUCUUUCAAUGGAACAAAUAUUUAAUUCGGUGAAAGCUUUCACCUCAUGAAAUAUUUGUACCAUUGAACUCAUAAACAUUCAUUAUUUGUAUAAUAAUCUAUAAACUUCUAGUGCUCAUCAAGACAUAUCUACAAAUGUGGGGGCAUUAGAGGAAAGGAAGGUGUGCAGCACCACACUGGUGCGAUCCAUAAAGUAAGUGGCAUCGGGAACAAAGAGCAUUACCCAGAGAUUCUCAUGCUACACCCCAAGUCAUCAGCUCGAACAUUAAACCUCAUAUUGGUCACAACUAGGUCGCCCAGCAGGAUCCCAAACCUCCAAAGAUGUGACCCAAUGACUGACAGAGAACAAAGCGAAAGUGUUAGCAUGGCCAUGGCAAUGCCCUGAUCCAGAUCCCACACAAAAUUGUGGACAGAACAAACGUGUCCAAACACAGAGGCCUGCAAAUCUGACUGACACCACUAACCCUAACCCACUUCUAUGCAGAGGAAUGGACCAAAUUUCCACCUAAUUUUUGUAUUAAAAAAAAAAAACCUUGCUUAAGACUCAACGUGUUUUAUGACGUAAAAACACAAUGCAUGCAAAUUUUGACCAACUGACAAUCAGAUACCAGAAAUUUUUUUUUAAAUAAGUCUUUCUUGUUAUUUGGAAUAACUCUUCUGAGAAUGAAGUAGACAUUCAAACUGAGAUAAAAAAAAAAAAAUCAAUCUUUGGUAACAUGAAAUGUGUGAAACAUUGAGUUUGAAAGCUUUUAGCCUCCAUGUAGCUAAAAAAACACACAAAAAAAUUAUUCAAUUGAAAUUGUUGGAGCUGUGUACAAAAAAAUGGAUGUAUGUUCUAUUUUGAUGCACAGUGCUUGUAGAGGGAAACAAAUUCUCAAAUUUUUGAAUGGCUGAAUCAUGAGAAUCAUGAUUGGCUGUGAUGAUGAUUUGGAAUUAUUUUCACAAGUUCAGCUUAUAAAUCAAUGUAGAAACAAUCGAAAAGUUAAAAUUUAAAAGUUAAAUUUUCAAGAGUGCACAGACACAUUUACAUGAAAGUGCACCAGUUUUGCAAUCACAAUUUCCUGUAGUGACUGAGUUUCAACUGAUUCAAACUAAAGGUUAGGGAUGCUGGAGCAGAUCAUCGGUUCAACUCCCUGAUCAGAAAAAAAAUCACAAAGAUUCCCUUGGGCAAAAUGAAAUUAACCAAUAAUUAUUUAUCUCCAAGUUGUUCCCAGCGUGCACUUGAGGGCAACAGCGUAUGCAUGCGUGUGUGAGUAUAAAGCGCUUCGAGCAUCUGUGUCAGCUGGAAAAUAAAUCAUGCAUUUACCAUA